rnacentral:rRNA from 1 species
GAUGAACGCUGGCGGCGUGCCUAAUACAUGCAAGUCGAGCGAACAGAUAAGGAGCUUGCUCCUUUGACGUUAGCGGCGGACGGGUGAGUAACACGUGGGUAACCUACCUAUAAGACUGGGAUAACUUCGGGAAACCGGAGCUAAUACCGGAUAACAUUUGGAACCGCAUGGUUCUAAAGUGAAAGAUGGUUUUGCUAUCACUUAUAGAUGGACCCGCGCCGUAUUAGCUAGUUGGUAAGGUAACGGCUUACCAAGGCAACGAUACGUAGCCGACCUGAGAGGGUGAUCGGCCACACUGGAACUGAGACACGGUCCAGACUCCUACGGGAGGCAGCAGUAGGGAAUCUUCCGCAAUGGGCGAAAGCCUGACGGAGCAACGCCGCGUGAGUGAUGAAGGGUUUCGGCUCGUAAAACUCUGUUAUUAGGGGAGAACAAAUGUGUAAGUAACUGUGCACGUCUUGACGGUACCUAAUCAGAAAGCCACGGCUAACUACGUG